rnacentral:lncRNA from 1 species
UUAAAGUGCCAAAGAUUUCCUGGCAGUAGAAGUCAAAUACUUCCAGUAAAGGUCUUAUAUAACUUGAUUUUUAGGGUAAUUACACAUCACUGAAGACAGCUCAUAAUUUUAGAGCUGAAAGUGGCUCCAGAGAUUACCUGAUGCAGCUGCCUGGUUUCCCAGCCUUCUGCUGGCUGGAUUUAUCCUCAGCAUACCUAUAAUGGUCCCUGACACUUCAUGGCUCACUUCUUUCUGCCAGUAGUUCCAAGGGAAGAGGCAUCCAUGUAAAUCCUGGGAUUCAUUGGAAUCAAACCAGUUUGGGAGAUUUGUGUGUUCCUGCACCAAUCAUUCUUGGACCAGCACAAUUGGAAUUAUGGUGUAUGGAAAAGGGACAGAGAAGAAGUGGAGGAAAGGGCACUUAAUCACCUGUUACUUAUGAAAAGAAGAUUGUUGGAAGCUGCUGCAUGCUUCUUCCAUCUCAUUGGUUCAUGGCCACACUUAACCAACUACAAGGUACAGAAGCAUUGAGAGAGUGGGUAGGCUAAAUUUGAGCGUCUAUUAUCCAAUGAAUAUUUCUUUCCUAUUCUAUGAAAGGAAUAGAACAUGAGUAUUGUGA